rnacentral:lncRNA from 1 species
UUCACACGGAUACCACGAAUGCCACGGUGGCCUCCUGAAGACGGAGUCUGGUCUCACAUUCCUCCAGCUUCCUGUGCAUAAACCCCAGCGAAGGGUGAGCGCACGGCAUGGCACCUGCAGCAUGGGGUUCACGUUCUGGAAGGUUCUGGCUGACUCCCACCCCGCCCUUCACUGGCCAAGUAAACUUGCAGAAGUUACUUAACCCUUGACCUAGAAGAGCCUCCUGUCACCUGAAAAGGGAAAGUCGGGAUUGUAAGGAAAGGAAUCUCAUAGGGCUUCUCUGAGGAGACAAAUCAUUGGAUUGGGCUUAGACGUUCCAUCCGUGGUUUCCGGCUUUGCCCUUUGGAGCCUGAGGAGCAAGGGUAGAAUGAGGAUCGUGAGGUUCUUCAGAGGCAGUUACUCACGAGGUCACAGCGCAGAAACGGCAAGAAAUGUCAGUUAUAAAAUGUCCAUGUGCAUUUUAAAUGAAUGGUUAUUAAAAUCCUUCUUUUUCCGUAAGGGAUCUAAAAAAUUAAACAAUUUGUAACUCAAACACACUUGUCAGGUAGCCUGAGUCAAAACCAGGAGAGGCUCCAUGGUCUGGAGUCUCCAGGUGCUCUCCUGGGUGAGGGUCUUGUUGCCUAAGGGGUUUAUGUAAUGAACUCAUUCUAAUACAAGCAAAACAUGAGUCCCUCAGAGUUGUUCAAAAAAUCAGGAAAUAGGAAAAAAUAAAUAAAUGAGAACAGAAUAUUGACAGGAGAGGAAAAUGAAGAGUUACUGGGAGAUUUGAAGGAGGGGAAAUGGGCAAAGGGUAAAUUUAGCAAUUAGACUUAAAGUCAGUGGAGAAUCAGGACAACUAUGGAUGUGAAGGAUGGGAGAGGGGCCUCCUUCCGCAUGAGGUCCCCAGAGGAGAGGGGUUCAUCCUUCUCCAUCUAGGACUUGAGGGACAUCCUUCUCCAUCCAGGACUGAGAGGCAUCCUUCUCCUUGCAGUACCUGAGGGACAUCCUUCUCCAUUCAGGACCUGAGGAUGUCCUUCUCUGUACUCCCUUGGGACUGCACCCUUUCCUGUGCCAUCCUUCAGAAUGCUAGGCUGUCGCUGGUUGUGGAUUGAACUCUAGCAUCUUAUCUCUAUUCUAGGCAUUAUGAAGAGCACCAAAGUGCAAGCCACAGGAUGGUAGAUGCUAUUUACAAUCCAUUCAACCAACAAAGGAUUUACAUGUGGACCACAGAGAGAACUGCAGGCCAGCAAGGAACCACAGGGAGAACUGCAGGCCAGUGAAGA